ACUGCCCAACUGCCACUGCCCAGCCUGAUGGCUCCACAUCUCAGGAGUAGGCUCUGAUUCCUUGGGGCCCCAGGAGCCUCUCAGGAGUCUACAUCCCAAGAUGUUCUAACUUCCAGAGUCUCCAAGCCCAUCAAGAGCAAGUUUUGCUAAAAGUGUUCUGAGAGCUUAUGAAGCACAUGGACAAGGAAGGGUUGUGCAUCCGGCUUUCCACCUUAAACUGGUUUCUAUGGUGCUUCAUCGAUGAGAUAAGGAUGCAUAGGAGACCCCAGGCCAGGAGUUCCUUCAGGACACACUGUCCUAGGCCUGGGCCCUGGAGGAGGACAUGGUGAUGAGGCACCCUGAGGCCUCCAUGGGGGAACUGAGAAGCAUGCACUGUGACCUGCACACCCAGCCAAACCUGAGCAAGCACCCCCACCACCCAGGCCUCUGCAGAUAUCCCCCAGCAUUGAGACCCUCCCCAAGGGGAUGGGCUGCUUCUCCCUGGCCCACAGCCCAGCUCCAGCAGCCCAUGGGUAUAGCCCUCCUGAAACAGGAGCCUCAUCCUCCCUCACCCUCACCUGGCUAUGCUGUACCCAAGGCCAAAGCCCAGAGGCAUAAGGGAGCUUCUGCAGAGCCCAGGACAGCAGGCUGCUCUCUGGGGGCCCUGGGGACUCAGAGUGUGGCCAGCCCAUCCCCAGCUCAGGAUAGACCACAGAGUGCUUGGUGAUUCCUGCAUUGGAACUCCCUCUCUAAGCUCCCCAUGGACCUGGACCUCAGAGGCCUGUGGUUUUCACAGUAGAGCUUGGAGCAGAGAUGCUAGGCCCCUAUCACUUCCAUAUGUGUCCUGGACACCUCUAAGAUCAUAGGACUGGCCUAGCCCCCAAUACCAGACACUGCCCAGCCCCCUGAUAGCCCAGAGGUAGGGCCAGAGACAACUCUCCUGCAUGUGAUGCCUACAGCUGAUCACUCUUGGCAGACAGUGAACAUCACGGCCCAGAAGGAGCCAGGGCAGCACUUGGCAAGCUGCCCCAAAGCCCCAGAGAGCUCCUUAGACAUGGAAAGUCAAUACUGAUGGGGAAGCUGGACACUUGGAGGCCACUGGAGGGAGGGGUGAGCAUGGUGUCCCCACAGCCCAGGCCACCCAGCAGCAUGCCCUGCAUCCAUGGUCCCAACCUGUAGGGCAGAACCCCCCUCUCAACGCACAAUUCCUAGACCCAGAGGGCCCUAGCCCAGACUCAACCUGAGCCCUGAAAGGGAAGGGGCACCAGGGGUGCCUUGGGGCCUCCAGCAGCAGCCAAGAUACACAGGAGAUGGAGCCCCCUGUGGCCCUGGCCAGAACUAGUAUUUGGCUUAAGGCGGAGCAAGCCCCCUUGGAGCACUGCGUACAUACCCGGGGCCUAUGUGUGCCUGGCAAGGCCAAGCUGAUGAUGUUACCAAGCUCAAACUACCACUGGCCACCUUGGUGAGGGUGGGGCAGAAACACGUGGACCAGCCACCAACCUCAUCCAUUCAAGGAAGCAGAAAUGGUCAGGCUCCUGCAGGAUAAGUGGCCACCACCAGACCACCAAUGGGGCAGAGUUCUGAGGCCCAAGCAGAUGGCACUGGGGCCCUGCUUCCAGGGUCCACAAUCUGCUCCAGGACACAAGACUGAAGAAAACUAAGCAAAUGAGAGUCCAGGAGGCUGGAUCCCUCAUCUGCCAUUCUUGGCAGUUGCAUUUUGUGGUCAGAAAAAGUCAGGAAACUUGGCUCUACUCACUGCAGGAGGCUCCAAGGUGGGACCAGAGCUUCCAGCAUAGAUUCAACAAUGCCUAAGAAUGCCUCUUCUUGGGGAAAAGGACCCCUUCCUUGGCCUCAAAGCCCCCACUUAUUUUGAUUAAAGCACAAUAAAGUCUUUGUUGUUA
rnacentral:lncRNA from 1 species